rnacentral:rRNA from 1 species
UACGUAGGGUGCGAGCGUGUCCGGAAUUAUUGGGCGUAAAGAGCUCGUAGGCGGUUUGUUGCGUCGGCCGUGAAAACUUGGGGCUUAACCCCGAGCCUGCGGUCGAUACGGGCAGACUUGAGUUCGGCAGGGGAGACUGGAAUUCCUGGUGUAGCGGUGAAAUGCGCAGAUAUCAGGAGGAACACCGGUGGCGAAGGCGGGUCUCUGGGCCGAUACUGACGCUGAGGAGCGAAGCGUGGGGAGCGAACAGG